UUGCUAACGCGUGAAGGCGAGCACUCUAGACGAACUGCCGUUGACAAAACGGAGGAAGGUGGGGAUGACGUCAAAUCAUCAUGCCCCUUAUGUUCUGGGCUACACACGUGCUACAAUGGCCGGUACAGACGGACGCAAAGCCGCGAGGUGGAGCAAAUCCUAAAAAGCCGGUCUCAGUUCGGAUUGCAGGCUGCAAUUCGCCUGCAUGAAGUCGGAAUCGCUAGUAAUCGCAGGUCAGCAUACUGCGGUCGAAUACGUUCCCGGGCCUU
rnacentral:rRNA from 1 species